UUGCAUCCACUGAUAGACCUGAAGCAGGCUUCCUCUGCUUUUGGUUUGCAUAGAGAUGCAAAAUCAAGUGUUCCUUGCACUUUCUGUCUGCCUCAUUACAUGGCAGCACAGAUUGAAUUAAGGAAUACAUUU